rnacentral:rRNA from 1 species
UACGGAAGGCAGCAGUGGGGAAUAUUGCACAAUGGGCGAAAGCCUGAUGCAGCUAUGCCGCGUGUAUGAAGAAGGCCUUAGGGUUGUAAAGUACUUUCAUCGGGGAGGAAAAAACAAAACUAAUAAUUUUAUUUCUUGACGUUACCCGAAAAAGAAGCACCGGCUAACUCCGUGCCAGCAGCCACGGUAAUACGGAGGGUGCUAGCGUUAAUCAGAAUUACUGGGCGUAAAGAGCACGUAGGUGGUUUUUUAAGUCAGAUGUGAAAUCCCUGGGCUUAACCUAGGAACUGCAUUUUGAAACUGAAAUACUAGAGUAUCGUAGAGGGAGGUAGAAUUCUAGGUGUAGCGGUGAAAUGCGUAGAUAUCUGGAGGAAUACCUGUGGCGAAAGCGGCCUCCUAAACGAAUACUGACACUGAGGUGCGAAAGCGUGGGGAGCAAACAGGGAUUAGAUACC